rnacentral:rRNA from 1 species
AACGAACGCUGGCGGCAGGCUUAACACAUGCAAGUCGAACGGGUGUAGCAAUACAUCAGUGGCAGACGGGUGAGUAACACGUGGGAACCUUCCUCGGGGUACGGAACAACUCAGGGAAACUUGAGCUAAUACCGUAUACGUCCGUGAGGAGAAAGAUUUAUCGCCCUGAGACGGGCCCGCGCCGGAUUCGCUAGUUGGUGGGGUAACGGCCUACCAAGGCGACGAUCCGUAGCUGAUCUUAGAGGAUGAUCAGCCACACUGGGACUGAGACACGCCACGGCCUCGUACGGGAGGCAGCAGGGGGGAAUGUGGGAGAAUGGGCGCAAGCCUGAUCCAGCCAGGCCGCGUGAGUGAAGAAGGUCUUCGGAUUGUAAAGCUCUUUUGCCAGGGACGAUAAUGACGGUACCUGGAGAAUAAGCCCCGGCAAACUUCGUGCCAGCAGCCGCCGCCG